GACACUGAACAUUGAGCCUUGAUGUGUAGGAUAGGUGGGAGGCUUUGAAGCGUGGACGCCAGUCUGCGUGGAGCCGACCUUGAAAUACCACCCUUUAAUGUUUGAUGUUCUAACGUGGACCCGUAAUCCGGGUUGCGGACAGUGUCUGGUGGGUAGUUUGACUGGGGCGGUCUCCUCCUAAAGAGUAACGGAGGAGCACGAAGGUUGGCUAAUCCUGGUCGGACAUCAGGAGGUUAGUGCAAUGGCAUAAGCCAGCUUGACUGCGAGCGUGACGGCGCGAGCAGGUGCGAAAGCAGGUCAUAGUGAUCCGGUGGUUCUGAAUGGAAGGGCCAUCGCUCAACGGAUAAAAGGUACUCCGGGGAUAACAGGCUGAUACCGCCCAAGAGUUCAUAUCGACGGCGGUGUUUGGCACCUCGAUGUCGGCUCAUCACAUCCUGGGGCUGAAGUAGGUCCCAAGGGUAUGGCUGUUCGCCAUUUAAAGUGGUACGCGAGCUGGGUUUAGAACGUCGUGAGACAGUUCGGUCCCUAUCUGCCGUGGGCGCUGGAGAACUGAGGGGGGCUGCUCCUAGUACGAGAGGACCGGAGUGGACGCAUCACUGGUGUUCGGGUUGUCAUGCCAAUGGCACUGCCCGGUAGCUAAAUGCGGAAGAGAUAAGUGCUGAAAGCAUCUAAGCACGAAACUUGCCCCGA
rnacentral:rRNA from 1 species